GGCGAACCGUGCAAACGUUGUUCGGAAUCACUGGGCUUAAAGGGCGCGUAGGCGGGCAAGCAAGUCGAAGGUGAAAUCCCACGGCUCAACCGUGGAAGUGCCCCCGAUACUGCUUGUCUUGAGGGAGAUAGGGGCGUGCGGAACUUCCGGUGGAGCGGUGAAAUGCGUAGAUAUCGGAAGGAACACCGGUGGCGAAAGCGGCGCGCUGGAUCUCUUCUGACGCUGAGGCGCGAAAGCUAGGGGAGCAAACGGG
rnacentral:rRNA from 1 species